ACUGCUCAGUAACACGUGGAUAACCUGCCCUAGGGGAGGGGAUAACCCCGGGAAACUGGGGAUAAUACCCUAUAGGUUACAGAUGCUGGAAUGCCCUGUAACCAAAAGCUCCGGCGCCCUAGGAUGGAUCUGCGGCCGAUUAGGUUGUUGUUGGGGUAACGGCCCAACAGGCCCGUAAUCGGUACGGGUUGUGGGAGCAAGAGCCCGGAGUUGGAUUCUGAGACACGAAUCCAGGCCCUACGGGGCGCAGCAGGCGCGGAACCUUUACAAUGCGGGCAACCGUGAUAAGGGAACCUCGAGUGCCUGUAAACGCAGGCUGUUCAGGUGUUUAAAACGCACCCGGAGAAAGGGCCGGGCAAGACCGGUGCCAGCCGCCGCGGUAAUACCGGCGGCUCGAGUGGUGGCCGCUUUUAUUGGGCUUAAAGCGUUCGUAGCUGGGUUGUUAAGUCUCUUGGGAAAUCUGGCGGCUUAACCGUCAGGCGUCUAAGGGAUACUGGCAAUCUUGGAACCGGGAGAGGUGAGGGGUACUUCGGGGGUAGGGGUGAAAUCCGGUAAUCCUCGAGGGACCACCUGUGGCGAAGGCGCCUCACCAGAACGGCUUUGACAGUGAGGGACGAAAGCUGGGGGAGCAAACCGGAUUAGAUACCCGGGUAGUCCCAGCCGUAAACGAUGCGCGUUAGGUGUAUCGGUGACCACGAGUUACCGAGGUGCCGAAGGGAAACCGUGAAACGCGCCGCCUGGGAAGUACGGUCGCAAGGCUGAAACUUAAAGGAAUUGGCGGGGGAGCAC
rnacentral:rRNA from 1 species